rnacentral:rRNA from 1 species
GGGCUACUGGAAUUGCUUAUUGCACCACAUGUGUUUUUCUUUGAAACAAACUUGCUUUGGCGGUGGGCCCAGCCUGCCGCCAGAGGUCUAAACUUACAACCAAUUUUUUAUCAACUUGUCACACCAGAUUAUUACUAAUAGUCAAAACUUUCAACAACGGAUCUCUUGGUUCUCGCAUCGAUGAAGAACGCAGCGAAAUGCGAUACGUAAUAUGAAUUGCAGAUAUUCGUGAAUCAUCGAAUCUUUGAACGCACAUUGCGCCCUCUGGUAUUCCGGAGGGCAUGCCUGUUUGAGCGUCGUUUCUCCCUCAAACCGCUGGGUUUGGUGUUGAGCAAUACGACUUGGGUUUGCUUGAAAGACGGUAGUGGUAAGGCGGGAUCGCUUUGACAAUGGCUUAGGUCUAACCAAAAACAUUGCUUGCGGCGGUAACGUCCACCACGUAUAUCUUCAAACUUUGACCUCAAAUCAGGUAGGACUACCCGCUGAACUUAAGCAUAUCAAUAAGCGGAGGAA